AUAGAUGAGCCACUAAUAACUAUGGACUCUCCUGAGGCAAAUGGUAACGCAGAUGGGUAUGUAGAGAAGAUUCAAAUCCCAUCAGCUUUGAUAGAGAGAUCUUUUGGUGAGAGCUUGAAGCAAGCCUUGAAGAAUGGAGAAGAUGUUAUGAUCAAAUUGGACUGGCGAGAGUCAGUGCCAAAUCCUGACCAGAAAGUUGAGUACGAGUUUUGGACAAACAGCAAUGAUGAAUGUGGGACUCGAUGCAAUGAGCAGAUGGAAUUCGUGAAAAGUUUCAAAGGUCAUGCUCAAAUCUUUGAGAAAGGGGGUUACACAUUGUUCACACCACACUAUAUUACUUGGUAUUGCCCACAAGCUUUUAUUCUUAGCAGUCAGUGCAAGUCUCAGUGCAUAAACCAUGGGAGAUACUGUGCGCCUGAUCCAGAGCAGGAUUUUGGGGAGGGAUAUCAGGGUAAAGAUGUGGUGUAUGAGAACUUGAGACAGCUUUGUGUCUAUAGAGUUGCCAAAGAGAUUGGCCGAUCAUGGGUUUGGUGGGAUUAUGUGACAGAUUUCCAUAU
rnacentral:misc_RNA from 1 species